rnacentral:rRNA from 1 species
UACGUAGGGCGCAAGCGUUGUCCGGAAUUAUUGGGCGUAAAGAGCUCGUAGGCGGCUUGUCACGUCGGGUGUGAAAGCCCGGGGCUUAACCCCGGGUCUGCAUUCGAUACGGGCUGGCUAGAGUGUGGUAGGGGAGAUCGGAAUUCCUGGUGUAGCGGUGAAAUGCGCAGAUAUCAGGAGGAACACCGGUGGCGAAGGCGGUUCUCUGGGCAUUACCUGACGCUGAGGAGCGAAAGUGUGGGGAGCGAACAGG